AGUGAACGCUGGCGGUAGGCCUAACACAUGCAAGUCGAACGGCAGCACAGUAAGAGCUUGCUCUUACGGGUGGCGAGUGGCGGACGGGUGAGGAAUACAUCGGAAUCUACUUUUUCGUGGGGGAUAACGUAGGGAAACUUACGCUAAUACCUCAUACGACCUACGGGUGAAAGCAGGGGAUCUUCGGACCUUGCGCGAUUGAAUGAGCCGAUGUCGGAUUAGCUAGUUGGCGGGGUAAAGGCCCACCAAGGCGACGAUCCGUAGCUGGUCUGCGAGGAUGAUCAGCCACACUGGAACUGAGACACGGUCCAGACUCCUACGGGAGGCAGCAGUGGGGAAUAUUGGACAAUGGGCGCAAGCCUGAUCCAGCCAUACCGCGUGGGUGAAGAAGGCCUUCGGGUUGUAAAGCCCUUUUGUUGGGAAAGAAAAGCAGCAGGUUAAUACCCCGCUGUUCUGACGGUACCCAAAGAAUAAGCACCGGCUAACUUCGUG
rnacentral:rRNA from 1 species